rnacentral:rRNA from 1 species
UGGGGAAUUGUUCACAAUGGGCGCAAGCCUGAUGACGCAACGCCGCGUGGGGGAUGAAGGUCUUCGGAUCGUAAACCCCUGUCGAAUGGGACGAAAGACUCGCGAGUGAAUACUUCGCGAGAGUGACGGUACCGUUAAAGGAAGCCACGGCUAACUCUGUGCCAGCAGCCGCGGUAAUACAGAGGUGGCAAGCGUUGUUCGGAAUUACUGGGCGUAAAGGGCGCGUAGGCGGCCCUCUAAGUCAGACGUGAAAUCCCCCGGCUUAACCUGGGAACUGCGUCUGAUACUGGAGGGCUUGAGUAUGGGAGAGGGAUGUAGAAUUCCAGGUGUAGCGGUGAAAUGCGUAGAUAUCUGGAGGAAUACCGGUGGCGAAGGCGGCAUCCUGGACCAUUACUGACGCUGAGGCGCGAAAGCUAGGGGAGCAAA